GGGGGUUUAGCUCAGCUGGUAGAGCACCUGCUUUGCACGCAGGGGGUCAGGAGUUCGAAUCUCCUAACCUCCACCA
rnacentral:tRNA from 24 species